UGGGGAAUAUUGCGCAAUGGGGGGAACCCUGACGCAGCCAUGCCGCGUGAAUGAAGAAGGCCUUCGGGUUGUAAAGUUCUUUCGGUAUUGAGGAAGGUUGAUGUGUUAAUAGCACAUCAAAUUGACGUUAAAUACAGAAGAAGCACCGGCUAACUCCGUGCCAGCAGCCGCGGUAAUACGGAGGGUGCGAGCGUUAAUCGGAAUAACUGGGCGUAAAGGGCACGCAGGCGGUUAUUUAAGUGAGGUGUGAAAGCCCCGGGCUUAACCUGGGAAUUGCAUUUCAGACUGGGUAACUAGAGUACUUUAGGGAGGGGUAGAAUUCCACGUGUAGCGGUGAAAUGCGUAGAGAUGUGGAGGAAUACCGAAGGCGAAGGCAGCCCCUUGGGAAUGUACUGACGCUCAUGUGCGAAAGCGUGGGGAGCAAACAGGAUUAGAUACCCUGGUAGUCCACGCUGUAAACGCUGUCGAUUUGGGGGUUGGGGUUUAACUCUGGCGCCCGUAGCUNACGUGAUAAAUCGACCGCCUGGGGAGUACGGCCGCAAGGUU
rnacentral:rRNA from 1 species